GAUGAACGCUGGCGGCGUGCCUAAUACAUGCAAGUCGAGCGAACAGACGAGGAGCUUGCUCCUCUGACGUUAGCGGCGGACGGGUGAGUAACACGUGGAUAACCUACCUAUAAGACUGGGAUAACUUCGGGAAACCGGAGCUAAUACCGGAUAAUAUAUUGAACCGCAUGGUUCAAUAGUGAAAGACGGUUUUGCUGUCACUUAUAGAUGGAUCCUCGCCGCAUUGGCUAGUUGGUAAGGUAACUGCUUACCAAGGCAACGAUGCGUAGCCGACGUGAGAGGGUGGUAGCCGACCCUGGAGCGUGACCGCGGACACGACUACUAAGGGACGCAGCAGUAGGGAAUCUGCCGCAAUGGGCGAAAACCUGACGGAACAGCGCCGAGUGAGAGAUAGAGAUCUUCGGAUCGUAAAACUCUCUUAUUAGGGAAGAACAAAUGUGUAAGUAACUAUGCACGUCUUGACGGUACCUAAUCAGAAAGCCACGGCUAACUACGUG
rnacentral:rRNA from 1 species